rfam:Micromonas sp. RCC299 chloroplast, complete genome.
GCCUCCUUAGCUCAGCGGCUAGAGCAUCGUAUUUGUAAUGCGAGGGUCGUCGGUUCAAUUCCGACAGGGGGCU